ensembl:snRNA U5 U5 spliceosomal RNA
ACACUCUUGUUUCUCUUCAGAUCGUAUAAAUCUUUCGCCUUUUACUAAAGAUUUCCGUGGAGUGGAACAAUAAGAGUUUAAUCUAAUUUUUUGAUGCCCUGCGUUAGUGGGGCU